UUUAUUUCUUAGAACACUCCUGAUAUCAUGACUCUGGAAUAACUGCGCCACCUCCUCCCCAGAUGGGGCUGAAGACAAGCCCCGUGGUAGGUCACUCCCUGCCCCUCACCUCCAUCCUGCCCCUGCCCCCCCAGGUGGAAUUCUCCAUCCAAAAGAGCACUGCCCGAGGGUCAGGAGGUGGCGACUGGCCCCUCUGGUCUUCCUGAGCCUCAGCAACAAUCCAUGGAGUCGUCUCUGUCAUGGCAGCCUGUCCUGGCAGGCCCCUUGGGCAGGGGAGUGUCCAGCAUCAGUCAGAAUGUCCAAAGGACUCAGUGGAGACCAUUUCAACCGGGAGAAUGUUCGUGCCUGUUUGGUGGAGCCUGGGGAAGAGAAGAAGAAGAAAAGACUCAGCAACAGAGAAAAAGAAGAUGUUGCACGCCAAAGAGCUGAUGGCACUCGCGUACAAGCAAAGCUAACAAGUUCGUUGCAAAUAGGACUUUAAUCUCUGAACCCAAAGUGGGGGUAAGUGGUCUUAUGACUGGGCGUAUACGUGGAGACUAGGUCUUAAACCUGACUGUCCCAGAAAUGAUAGGACAGCCGUUUCUCAGCUGUGGGCAGUUUUGCCCUCCCCAGCCCCCCGCCUCCAACCAGGGAGAAUUGGCAGUGGAGACGGUUUUUACUGUCAUGACUUGGGGAGGUUGAAGGGGGAGGGAGAAACCCUGAGGACAGGUUAUAUAACUGGAACUCCCAUUGUAACCAUCCUGGCUUACUUUAAUCCACCGGCAGGUUAAAAAUGUCCCCCCUUUCCUAAAUUAUGACUGCAUUUCUCACUAAAGACUGAAUGACUCUUCUCUCUCUCACUCUCUUUGGCCUCCUCCCAUGUGAUGGGAUCUUAGUUCCCUGACAGGGAUCGAACCUGUGCCCCCUGCAUUGGGAGCACUGAAUCCUAACCACUGGGCUGCCGGAGAAGUCCGGCCUCUUCUCUUAAUAGAACAUUUCUCUCUACAAACGCUCC
rnacentral:lncRNA from 1 species